AAUAACAAUACCACAAUGAAAAAAUACUCCAUUGCAAGUGUAAAUGUUGCACCAUGACACAAUCUAAUUACUUGUUGCACGUCACAUUUCAUUUUUGCACUUGUCUACUUCAUAUAUUUCAUACACUUCAUUUCUUUGUCCAUAGCACAAUCUAUAUUUCCGUCAAUGUUUAGGGCCCGAGCACCGAACGGUGCGAAGGCCCUAUUGGAUCUGAAGGAGGAUUUUAUGUCUCGCAAAAAGGCGGGGCAAAAUGGCUCAACAGCGCCCCCUAGAAAACUAAGAAAAUUGAGCCCCUCGAUACAGAUUGUCAUAGAAGAAUGAAAUUCGGUGUACUUAUGUAUCAUGACCAGACGCACCAAAAAGUCUCUUACACACAUACCAUAAGUCCAACAGGAAGCCAUUUUGAAUUAAAGUUGCCAUUUUGACUCAGAUUUUGCCAUUUCCAGCCUGCAUACUUUAACGAACUCCUCCUAGAAAUUUGACCUCAGCAACUUCAAAUUCAGUCAGUAUCAUCUACAGACCUUGGAAAUGAAAAGUUAUCAAAACAGUAAGUUUUCGACAUUGCCAAGGGGGCGUGGCCGGGCGGUGAAUUUCGAUCCUUCGCCAUGAAUAUUGAAACGGCCAUAACUCCAGCAUACAUGAUCCCAAGACCCAAGCCUUCUGUGCUUGAAAAGAGUCUCGCCACAUCAAUGUGUUUUUACCCAGCGGUAAUCAAACUCCAGGCCUCAGUUGAGGAGUCCUGUCGGUAGAGAUUGAGGGCCAUGUUCGACCCAGGGACGCCCAUCGCAGUAUUCAGCACAUGGGUGGUCAGAGGACUAGGCAAAAUAUGACCUUUGAGUUGCUGCAGCCUGUAUGCACUCAUGUGUGCUGUUGAAUAAAAUCCAAAGUGGGUCAGCAGUCCUGACUGAAAAAUAAGACCAGUUGUGCAAGAGCGUCUUUUGUCACACUUUGCUUUCAGCACUUUGAACUUAGUGGAAAUGGAUGAUCAAAGUGGACUACACUGAGGCUGAGGCACAUGCAGAUGAGUACGAUUAAUGGAUUUUUUUAAAAAGUAUUUUUUAUUUUCUGAUAUUCCUAUAUUUGACUGCUGGGUUAAUGAUCUUCCUGUACAACUUCCUGCUUGAAUUCCACAAACAUGUGCUCAUGUGCUUAUUACAUGUGAUACAUUUUCCCCACAGUCUCUGAUUCUAAUAAAAUUCAAACUUCUAAGGGUUGAAUAUAAUAUUUUUAAAUAUGGAGGAUCUUCUGGGCUACAACCUUGACAACAAGCAUGACUUUGUAAAUAAGUUCAAUCAUGGUGAUCAUGCUGGCUUUUGAUCCAAAGACUACAGUGUGCUUUAAGUAGUCUAAUGCACAUUGCUGAUUAUAUUAUAAUACAAAAUUAUAUUAAAAAAAAACUUUUAUCAUGACAGAAAAUGAUCUGGCAGGGGUGUUUGUCUACUCUUUAUUUCUGAUCAUGCUUUAUAAAAUGAGAAUGUCCUAAUAAAGCACCUUGAAUCUCCCA